GACGAACGCUGGCGGCGUGCUUAACACAUGCAAGUCGAACGAAGAGCGAUGGAAGCUUGCUUCUAUCAAUCUUAGUGGCGAACGGGUGAGUAACGCGUAAUCAACCUGCCCUUCAGAGGGGGACAACAGUUGGAAACGACUGCUAAUACCGCAUACGAUCUAAUCUCGGCAUCGAGGAUAGAUGAAAGGUGGCCUCUACAUGUAAGCUAUCACUGAAGGAGGGGAUUGCGUCUGAUUAGCUAGUUGGAGGGGUAACGGCCCACCAAGGCGAUGAUCAGUAGCCGGUCUGAGAGGAUGAACGGCCACAUUGGGACUGAGACACGGCCCAGACUCCUACGGGAGGCAGCAGUGGGGAAUCUUCCGCAAUGGACGAAAGUCUGACGGAGCAACGCCGCGUGAGUGAUGACGGCCUUCGGGUUGUAAAGCUCGGUUAAUCGGGACGAAAGGCCUUCUUGCGAACAGUUAGAAGGAUUGACGGUACCGGAAUAGAAAGCCACGGCUAACUACGUG
rnacentral:rRNA from 1 species